AUUGAACGCUGGCGGCAGGCCUAACACAUGCAAGUCGAGCGGAGCGGCGGACGGGUGAGUAAUGCCUAGUAAUCUGCCUGGUCUUGGGGGAUAACGUCCGGAAACGGCCCCUAAUCCCGCAUCCUAUCAGAUGAGCCUAGGUCGUAUUGGCUAGUUGUUGGGGUAAAGACCUACCAAGGCGACGACCCGUAACUGGUCUGAGAGGAUGAUCAUUUCCACUAGGACUGAGACACGGGCAAGACUCCUACGGUAGGCAGCAGUGGGGAAUAUUGGACAAUGGGCGAAAGCCUGAUCCAGCCAUGCCGCGUGUGUGAAGAAGGUAUUCGGAUUGUAAAGCACUUUAAGUUGGGAGGCGUUACCAACAGAGUAAGCACCGGCUAACUUCGUGCCAGCCGCCGCGGUAAUUC
rnacentral:rRNA from 1 species